UUUUUCCUGCAGUGUUUGCGUUGAGGCCGUUAAUUGUUAAACCAACACAUUUAACAAGGGAGUUUGAGUCCGAUUGCAGCUGCCAUGCCGUAUAUAUCGGAAGGCAAAAACAAUUGGCAGAACACCCACCUGCCAAGGCAGGUUUAGCUAAUGCGGCAAGCGGCUCUGCGGGUAAUUA
rnacentral:other from 1 species